GGAAGUAAAAGUCUAACAAGGUUUCCGUAGGUGAACCUGCGGAAGGAUCAUUAACGAGUUAGGGUCUCCUAGGCCCGAUCUCCCAACCCUUUGUUUACUCAACCUCCGUUGCUUCGGCGGGCCCGUCUUUAUUGACCGCCGGAGGAUGGCCGAGAGGCCGUCCUCUCGCCAGUGUUCGCCGAUAGCCACCCUCUUAAAUUCUGAAUAAAAUCGUGUCUUAUAUCUAAGUUAAUGAUUAAAUAAAAGCAAAACUUUCAACAACGGAUCUCUUGGUUCUG
rnacentral:misc_RNA from 1 species